UACGAGGGGGGCAAGCGUUGUUCGGAAUCACUGGGCGUAAAGGGUGCGUAGGCGGGUCUUUAAGUCAGAGGUGAAAUCCUGGAGCUCAACUCCAGAACUGCCUUUGAUACUGAGGAUCUUGAGUUCGGGAGAGGUGAGUGGAACUGCGAGUGUAGAGGUGAAAUUCGUAGAUAUUCGCAAGAACACCAGUGGCGAAGGCGGCUCACUGGCCCGAUACUGACGCUGAGGCACGAAAGCGUGGGGAGCAAACAGGG
rnacentral:rRNA from 1 species